rnacentral:rRNA from 1 species
GUGCCAGCAGCCGCGGUAAUACGUAGGGGGCGAGCGUUGUCCGGAGUUAUUGGGCGUAAAGGGCGCGUAGGCGGCCUGUUAAGUCUGAGGUGAAACGCCGCAGCUCAACUGCGGACUGGCCUUGGAAACUGGCGGGCUUGAGGGAGCCAGAGGGGUGCGGAAUUCCCGGUGUAGCGGUGAAAUGCGUAGAGAUCGGGAGGAACACCAGUGGCGAAGGCGGCACUCUGGGGCUCAACUGACGCUGAGGCGCGAAAGCUAGGGGAGCAAACGGGAUUAGAUACCCCGGUAGUCC